UACAGAGGGUGCAAGCGUUAAUCGGAGUUAUUGGGCGUAAAGCGCACGUAGGUGGUUUUCUAAGUCGGAUGUGAAAUACCCGGGCUCAACCUGGGACGGUCAUCCGAGACUGGGAAACUAGAGUACAGUAGAGGAAAGUGGAAUUUCCGGUGUAGCGGUGAAAUGCGUAGAUAUCGGAAGGAACACCAGUGGCGAAGGCGGCUUUCUGGACUGAUACUGACACUGAGGUGCGAAAGCGUGGGGAGCAAACAGG
rnacentral:rRNA from 1 species